rnacentral:rRNA from 1 species
GACGAACGCUGGCGGCGUGCUUAACACAUGCAAGUCGAACGGAAAGGCCCUGCUUUUGUGGGGUGCUCGAGUGGCGAACGGGUGAGUAACACGUGAGUAACCUGCCCUUGACUUUGGGAUAACUUCAGGAAACUGGGGCUAAUACCGGAUAGGAGCUCCUGCUGCAUGGUGGGGGUUGGAAAGUUUCGGCGGUUGGGGAUGGACUCGCGGCUUAUCAGCUUGUUGGUGGGGUAGUGGCUUACCAAGGCUUUGACGGGUAGCCGGCCUGAGAGGGUGACCGGGCAAAUUGGGACUGAGAUACGGCCCAGACUCCUACGGGAGGCAGCAGUGGGGAAUUUUGCACAAUGGGCGGAAGCCUGAUGCAGCAAAGCCGCGUGCGGGAUGACGGCCUUCGGGUUGUAAACCGCUUUCGCCUGUGACGAAGCGUGAGUGACGGUAAUGGGUAAAGAAGCAACGGCUAAAUAAGUG